rnacentral:rRNA from 1 species
GACGAACGCUGGCGGCGUGCUUAACACAUGCAAGUCGAGCGGUAAGGCCCUUUCGGGGGUACGACGAGCGGCGAACGGGUAGAGUAACACGUGGGUGACCUGCCCUUAGCUCUGGGAUAAGCCUGGGAAACGUGGGUCUAAUACCGGAUAUGACUCCAUGACGCAUGUUGUGGGGUGGAAAGCCUUGUGCGGCUAGGGAUGGGCCCGCGGCCUAUCAGCUUGUUGGUGGGGUGAUGGCCUACCAAGGCGACGACGGGUAGCCGGCCUGAGAGGGCGACCGGCCACACUGGGACUGAGACACGGCCCAGACUCCUACGGGAGGCAGCAGU